GUUUACAGUCAUACCACCCUGAACAUAUUCAAUCUCAUCUGAUCUCUCGGAAGCUAAGCAGAGUCAGGCCUGGAGAGGACUUGGAUGGGAGAAAUACCAAGAUCUUACGCGGGAGACUCUGAGACGUUAUACGUG
rnacentral:rRNA from 1 species